rnacentral:rRNA from 1 species
AUUAAACGCUGGCGGCAUGCCUUACACAUGCAAGUCGAACGGCAGCACGGGGGCAACCCUGGUGGCGAGUGGCGGACGGGUGAGUAAAGCAUCGGAACGUAUCCUGGAGUGGGGGAUAACGUAGCGAAAGUUACGCUAAUACCGCAUAUUCUGUGAGCAGGAAAGCAGGGGAUCGCAAGACCUUGCGCUCUGGGAGCGGCCGAUGUCGGAUUAGCUAGUUGGUGGGGUAAAGGCCUACCAAGGCGACGAUCCGUAGCGGGUCUGAGAGGAUGAUCCGCCACACUGGGACUGAGACACGGCCCAGACUCCUACGGGAGGCAGCAGUGGGGAAUUUUUGGACAAUGGGCGGAAGCCUGAUCCAGCCAUGCCGCGUGAGUGAAGAAGGCCU